ACAUGGGCUCGUCAUCUCGACAUAUAGCGAAGCGCAGUAGCUGAAGUGGAGCGCGGGGUGUGGAUCCCGAGGUAAAAUCUAUUUUAAAAAGUAUUGCAACUAUGCUGAAUCAGUGACAAAAUAGUUGAGGAACAAGUUCAGGUGCUUCUCAGCGUGUGGAAUCCCAACAAACAACCUUUCAGAAGUGUUAGGCAGUUAUUAGUGAGAUGUUAUUGGACGAUGAACAAAGCAUAUUGCUAAUGGAGUAUAUAAAUUGGAACACUAAUUGUCAAGAGAUGUUCUUGGGCAUGAACGAGAGUCAAAGGCUAUUUUACGUUGAGAACAUUGAAAACCAUACCAAAAAAUCCCGGACCCAACGUGCAGCAACAAUAUCCAUAUUAUACGAACCCCGCUCCACCAUAUAUGGGUUCGCUUGCACAUUUUCACCCACCGGUCCAAAACUUCUCACAACAACAGCCUCAUUUUUCCCUAAGUACCCUCUAACUUUAACCCACCACAACCUUCUUUCUAACAACCUACUCCUAUUGGCCAACAACCCCUUCCUAACUUCCAAAAUUUCCCACUAUUCUUCGUGAACCCCCAAUUCCCACCCCACCUGGCCCCUUUGGAGGAACCGGAAGCGAUGAAAUUUAAUUUGAGUGUUCGUUUUUCAAUCGUGAUUUCUCUUUCCAUUAGAUUGUGAUGUAGUGUGUGUGUUUCUUAUCUGGAACGAUUAUUUUUCAUUUCAACUUGACACUGGCUUUAGAUAGCAUGGUAACUUUAUGAGUGUGUUUCAUGUUGCAUUGUAGACUUUGAUUUGAAACAUUGAUUUCAUGAUAUGCAUAAUUGAUUUUGUACCAUUAUAUAAUGUAACAUUGUUCAUUCUUUUCAUUUCAAAUAUUGGUUUGUAUAUUGUGAAUGUAUUGGCAGACAGAAUGUGGAGUGGCGGACCAUUAAAUGCGGGAAACAAUGGUCCACCCGAAUAUGACUCUGAUAAUUAUUACAUUCUUGGAGCAGCCGCUGCUGCGGUAUUCUAUACGACGUACUUGGAACAUCCACUUCCGACUCCUCGGAAUAAUAGCCACUACACAGGUACGCAGCGUCUAAGUGAUUUGUUAAAUGGUCACGAGAUGGUAAUAUACAAUAAGAUUAGGAUGGGCAGCGAUUGCUUUAGGCGACUGAGUUAGUUACUCGAGCAAAGGAAUUUACUGAGGAGUACUAGAAAUAUGAGCGUUGUUGAGCAAUUGAUCAUUUUCUUGACAAUAAUAUGCCAAAGCGAAAGUAAUAGAGAGACACAACAUCUCAGAACUGGUAUGGACAAGGGGAAUUCGACUAUUUAAUUAAAACAAAGCAUUGCGAUGGUCCCUGUGGAUGCUCACGCAAUGUGAUUUUUGCCCAGUGCUCUGAAUGUCAAAGUGAAGAAAUUCAACCAAGCGCGGGUAAAUGGGGGGAGUAACUAUGACUCUCUUAAGGUAGCCAAAUGCCUCGUCAUCUAAUUAGUGACGUGCAUGAAUGGAUUAACGAGAUUCCCACUGUCCCUAUCUACUAUCCAGUGAAACCACAGCCAAGGGAACGGGCUUGGUAGAAUCAGCAGGGAAAGAAGACCCUGUUGAGCUUGACUCUAGUCUGACUUUGUGAAAUGACUUGAAGGGUGUAGUAUAAGUGGGAGCCGGAAACGGUGAAAGUGAAAUACCACUACUUUUAACGUUAUUUUACUUAUUCCGUGAAUCGGAGGCGGGGCACUGCCCCUCUUUUUGGACCCAAGGCCUGCCCCAGCAGGUUAAUCCGGGCGGAAGACAUUGUUAGGUGGGGAGUUUGGCUGGGGCAGCACAUUUGUUAAAAGAUAACGUAGGUGUCCUAAGAUGAGCUCAACGAGAACAUAAAUCUUGUGUGGAAGAAAAGGGUAAAAGCUCGUUUGAUUUUGAUUUCCAGUAUGAAUACGAACCGUGAAAGCGUAGCCUAUCGAUCCUUUAGACCUUUAGAAUUUAAAGCUAGAGAUGUCAAAAAAGUUACCACAGGGAUAACUGGCUUGUGGCAGCCAAGCGUUCAUAGCGACGUUGCUUUUUGAUCCUUCGAUGUUGGCUCUUCCUAUCAUUGUGAAGCAGAAUUCACCAAGUGUUGGAUUGUUCACCCACCAAUAGGGAACGUGAGCUGGGUUUAGACCAUCGUGAGACAGGUUAGUUUUACCCUACUGAUGAUAGUGUCGCAAUAGUAAUUCAACCUAGUACGAGAGGAACCGUUGAUUCACAUAAUUGGUCAUCGCGUUUGGUUGAAAAGCCAGUGGCACGAAGCUACCGUGCGCUGGAUUAUGACUGAACGCCUCUAAGUCAGAAUCCAGGCUAGAAGCGAUGCGUGUGCCCGCCGCCCAUUUGCCGACCUGCAGUAGGGGCCUCGGCCCCCAAAGGCACGUGCCGUUGGUGAAGCACGCACGGCGGAUGAGCCGCGUGGGCCGCCUUAAAGUAUAAUUCCCACCGAGCGGUGGGUAGAAUCCUUUGCAGAGGACUUAAGUAUGCGACUGGGUAUUGUAAGUGGUAGAGUGGCCUUGCUGUCACGAUUCACUGAGAUUCAGCCCUGCGU
rnacentral:rRNA from 1 species